CAAAAAGUAGUUUUAUUAUAAAAUAGUAACAUUGGAAGUUACAGAUCAAUAAUUUUAUUGUUUUUUGA
rnacentral:tRNA from 1 species